UACAGAGACUGCAAGCGUUAUUCGGAUUCACUGGGCGUAAAGGGUGCGCAGGCGGCCGUGUGUGUGAGGCGUGAAAGCCCGGAGCUCAACUCCGGAAUUGCACCUCAAACUACACGGCUAGAGCAUUGGAGAGGGAAGCGGAAUUCACGGUGUAGCAGUGAAAUGCGUAGAUAUCGUGAGGAACACCAGAGGCGAAGGCGGCUUCCUGGACAAUUGCUGACGCUCAGGCACGAAAGCGUGGGGAGCAAACAGG
rnacentral:rRNA from 1 species